rnacentral:rRNA from 1 species
UACGAAGGGGGCUAGCGUUGUUCGGAAUCACUGGGCGUAAAGGGCGCGUAGGCGGCCAUAUAAGUCGGGGGUGAAAGCCUGUGGCUCAACCACAGAAUUGCCUUCGAUACUGUAUGGCUCGAGACCGGAAGAGGUAAGUGGAACUGCGAGUGUAGAGGUGAAAUUCGUAGAUAUUCGCAAGAACACCAGUGGCGAAGGCGGACUUACUGGUCCGGUUCUGACGCUGAGGCGCGAAAGCGU